rnacentral:rRNA from 1 species
GACGAACGCUGGCGGCGUGCUUAACACAUGCGAGUCGAACGGUGAACUCCGCUUGCGGGGGGAUCAGUGGCGAACGGGUGAGUAACACGUGGGCAACCUGCCCUCAGCUCUGGGAUAACUCCAAGAAAUUGGGGCUAAUACCGGAUAUGACCGCUGACCGCAUGGUCUGGUGGUGGAAAGAUUUAUCGGCUGGGGAUGGGCCCGCGGCCUAUCAGCUUGUUGGUGGGGUAGUGGCCUACCAAGGCGACGACGGGUAGCCGGCCUGAGAGGGUGACCGGCCACACUGGGACUGAGACACGGCCCAGACUCCUACGGGAGGCAGCAGUGGGGAAUAUUGCGCAAUGGGCGAAAGCCUGACGCAGCGACGCCGCGUGGGGGAUGACGGCCUUCGGGUUGUAAACCUCUUUCAGCAGGGACGAAGCGAAAGUGACGGUACCUGCAGAAGAAGCACCGGCCAACUACGUG